rnacentral:rRNA from 1 species
GAUGAACGCUAGCUACAGGCUUAACACAUGCAAGUCGAGGGGCAGCACAGUGUAGCAAUACACGGGUGGCGACCGGCGCACGGGUGCGUAACGCGUAUCCAACCUUCCCGUUACUCUUGGAUAGCCUUCCGAAAGGGAGAUUAAUACAAGAUGGUAUUCAAAUUCCGCAUGUUAUUUGAAUUAAAGAUUUAUCGGUAACGGAUGGGGAUGCGUGACAUUAGGUAGAUGGCGGGGUAACGGCCCACCAUGCCUACGAUGUCUAGGGGUUCUGAGAGGAAGGUCCCCCACACUGGAACUGAGACACGGUCCAGACUCCUACGGGAGGCAGCAGUGAGGAAUAUUGGUCAAUGGUCGGAAGACUGAACCAGCCAAGUAGCGUGAAGGAUGAAGGUUCUAUGGAUUGUAAACUUCUUUUAUACGGGAAUAAAACCACCUACGUGUAGGUGCUUGUAUGUACCGUAUGAAUAAGCAUCGGCUAACUCCGUG